GAACGAGACAGAAGUGAGGGUGAGACUCAUUCGAAUUCACUGUCACAAACAUCGGACAAACAGAUCUGCAGAACUCUUUGAGGAUUGAAAGUCAGUUAUUUAAAUGACUAGAAUUCAAGUGAAACUUAAAAAAGGUUUUGCAAUCAGUGAGAACAGAUGCAAAAGGCUGAAACAGGCAGAGAAGAGGUCGGCAUGUGGGCAGAGGCAUUUUAAGAGACACAUGGCACCCAAAGAGUCCUAAAUAGAAAUCUGUGGGAGAAUUCCUGCCCCAUAUAACUGACUUAGUGACAAUCAUAUGACACAUACUACAGCACAGGCUCACAACAGUUUUAGAUGUGGUGGCAGGGAUAUCUACUCAUUAUUUUUGCUGAACGACGUUUGCUCAACUGCUCUUGGAUGAUGAGAUAAUUCAUAAAUUAGCUGUAAAUGAACUUAUAAUGUUGUGUAGUAGAAGUUUACCUCACAAGCGGAAAAAACCUUUUUAAAACAUAUUUUGGGGCAAAGUUGUCAAACUUGCGAAAUAUUUUUUGUUUGUUUGUUUGCUUGUUUUUGAGCAGAUUUGUUUGGUGAUUCUGUGCAUGCUUUCUUUAUGUGAAUGUGACCAUUUAAAUGAAAAUUAUGUCACCCUUGAUUACAAGCUUUAAAAUAAUAGAGUCGAAGCUUGGUCGUGGGACACUUAUCCAUUGUAACCAAAGGCAGUUUUGAGACAGGGACUAGUUCCUCUGGUUGUUCCUGUGUUGACCGAGUGUCAGUAUCUGGGAAUGUGUUGUUUUCCCUUCUUGUGCUACUUAUUUUCCGCUGUACUCACUUAGACCUUCUCACUGUGGAGUCUUGGGACUCACUUAGGAUAAUACGGACAUUUACAAAAUACUGUGAGCAACACAAACUAGUCCGGAUGAUUCUAGACAAAAUAUAUGGACAAAAGUACUGAGCCAUCCCAAAUACAGAAGCUGCUCAGCCAUGGAAAGCCAUGCCGUGAAGCUCCUGGCGCACAGCUUUUGUGCUGAUGUUACAGUUUUUCUCAAAUGCUAAAACACAAACGUCAAACCUCUAAACCAAAUGACCAGUUGUCUAAACACAUUUACUAAAUCUAGCCAUCAUUUACCAAUAUCAUAAACACAUGUCACAUGAAGACACAAUUCACAGAACACAAUCCUCCGUUGUCAUAAAUCUAACCACAUUUUGCCUUGCUAAAACACAAGUUGCAAAAGAACUCUGCUCAUAUUCUCAAAUGAAAGCUCAUGUGAUGCAACAUGCUUGCCACAGUCAGCAAUAUUUGAACACAAUGAACACACCUGGCGUCAUUCAUUACACACAACGACUCAAAAUUGAAGACACUUGUUGCUAAUGCUGUGACCACAUGUAUAAAAGCAAGUUCAGAGUGCACAGUUUGCUGAAGAUUCCAAACAAACACAAUGGAUGAAGGCAGAGUCAGGGGAAGAGGAAUUCGAUGCAGAGGAUGGAGAAGAGCUGGCCCUGGAAGAAGAGGAGCAGGCCAACGAGGAAGAGGAGUUCAAAUGAGAGGAGGAAGAGGAGCAGGUCAACGAGGAAGAGGAGGAGGCCAACAUGGGAGAGAAGGUCCAGGAGGGAGAGCAAAACAACCUCGCACCAUCAUUACGGACGAGAUGCGAGCAACAGUCAUUGACCAUGUCAUUGUCCAUGGCAUGACAAUGGCUGAAGCAGGACUAAGAGUCCGUCCAAACCUGAGUAGGUUCACCGUGGCCACCAUUAUCAGGGCAUUCAGACAACACAACAGAGUUGAAAGAAUGCCACAUAGAGGUGGGAGGGUUGCCAUAUUUACAGCGGCACAAGAAACCCUCAUUGUGGAUAUGGUUCGUGGGAACAACCUCAUCAGACUCCAGGAGAUCAGAGACAAAGUCAUUGCCGAUAAUGUCAACUUUGAGAGCGUUGACGAUGUCAGCUUGGCCACAAUAGACCGAGUUCUCCGGCGCCAAAAGACGCGGAUGAAACAGGUCUAUAAGGGUUCCCUUUGAGCGCAACUCUGUGCGACACAAAGACCUACGUUACGAGUAUGUGCAAAGGAUAUUACAGUUGGACGCGAUGGCCAGACCUCAUGAGUACUUCUUCCUGGAUGAGGCCGGCUUCAACCUGCAGAAACGAAGGCAAAGAGGCCGUAACAUCAUUGGCCAAAGAGCCAUCACUGAGGUCCCUGGCCAACUUACUUACUUAGCACUUAGUUCCUCCUACGCCGAGCGGCGCAUCGGGCAGCUAGUGAUCUCCAUCGAUGUCGGUCAGCAGCGACUGCUUCAGCUUCGUCCCAGGCAAUGUCGACAGUUCUCAGAUCGUCCAUGAAUGUUCGACGCCAUGUGGUCUUUGGUCAGCCUUGCUUUCGCUUGCCAGUGCGUGGACACCAUGUCAUGGCAAUCUUAGCUGGGCGAUGAGGGGGUAGGCGUAAAAUAUGGCCCGCAAAACGGAAGCGCCUUUCUGCAACAACUAAUGGGCGGGUGCCUGCUCUUCGUAGGACCUCCUCAUUUGUUAUUCGGUCCCGGUAGGAAAUUUUCAGGAUGGCUCUGGCCAAUGGGGGGGUAAUAUUACUCUUUGUGCGGCCAUGGGUUCGGCGGGGCUUGUCCACCGGCAUGCUGUCCUUCGGUCUUACAACACCCAACGUCUCCUCACCUUCCUAGAGGAGCUAAAAGACAUCCUCCUGGACCGCCAACAACACCAUCCUGGGCCCGCACAUGACAUUUAUGUGAUCAUUUGGGACAAUGUCCGCUUCCACAGAACAAACCAAAUCAGAGAGUGGUUCACCACCAACAGUGACCACUUUUUAAACGUCUGUCUGCCACCCUACUCCCCUUUCCUGAACCCUAUAGAGGAGUUCUUCUCAUCGUGGAGAUGGAAGGUUUAUGACAGACAACCAUACACAAGAGAGAACCUCCUAAGGGCAAUGGAGCUGGCUGUUAGGAUGCCUGGGUCGUUGACCCAGAGGUUUGAGUUUAUUAUAUUAUUUAUCAUUUCUAGUCUUUGGUUUCUUGGUCUGUGUUCUGUCUUAUGGUUUACGUCUUGGUUCCCUCUGUUGCAGUGCCUGCGUGUGAGUCUGUCUUUAGUUCAGUCUGUGUUGUUUCCUGUUUUAUUUUGAAGGUCCGUGUCUUAUGUUAAUGUAUCUGGUUUUGCUUCCCCUGUUUCGUUAGGCCUGAUUUGCCCCAGCUGUGUUUCCCUCCUGUUACUCAUUCCCUGAUUGCUCCCUCUGUGUAUUUAAGCCCUGUGUUUCUCUGUGUCCGUGUUGCGAUCUAUCCUCUUCUUGCUGUGUGUUCUGUCUGAGUAAGUUUAUUUGCAAGUUUUUUUACCUUUUGAGUUUAGCAAUAAAUCUGAGUUUGAGUUAC